AGUGAACGCUGGCGGUAGGCCUAACACAUGCAAGUGAAACGGAGGACCAUUAGAGGCUGCCUCUUACGGUGGCCGGUGGGCGAACGGGUGGGGAAAACAUCGAAAUCUACUUUUCGGGGGGGAAUAAGGAAGGGAAACUACCCCUAAUACCCCAACGAACUAAGGGUGAAAACAAGGGAAUCUUCGAACUUUCGCGGAUGGAUGAACCGAUGUCGGAUUAGCUAGUUGGCGGGGUAAAGGCCCACCAAGGCGACGAUCCGUAGCUGGUCUGAGAGGAUGAUCAGCCACACUGGAACUGAGACACGGUCCAGACUCCUACGGGAGGCAGCAGUGGGGAAUAUUGGACAAUGGGCGCAAGCCUGAUCCAGCCAUACCGCGUGGGUGAAGAAGGCCUUCGGGUUGUAAAGCCCUUUUGUUGGGAAAGAAAAGCAGCAGGUUAAUACCCCGCUGUUCUGACGGUACCCAAAGAAUAAGCACCGGCUAACUUCGUG
rnacentral:rRNA from 1 species